UUCAGCCAUUUGCAAAUCUUAUACGGACCUUUCCAGUUACGUCAUUGUUUGGAGGUGAAGCCUUGCUUUCGCUGCGGCUUGUACAUCAACACAAAAUCGCCUUCCUGGAAAUCCUCUCGGCUCUAUGCGUUACUGGACAUUGCUUCCGGCUUAUCUCCGGGAGUGCACCACCUCACA